rnacentral:misc_RNA from 1 species
GGAGCACCAUCAGGGUACUCUUCUGCUACACUUUCCAAAAGAUAUUUUACGCCACGAGGUAGACGGCCGUAUCGGACACGGGUGGCGUACCAUACCGAACAACCGCAAGGGAGUUCAACAAGAUCUUUGACGUUUGAGGACGAAGCGGCGUACGCGACAGAGGAUACCUCUGGCGGGUGCGCGGAACG